rnacentral:tRNA from 1 species
GCCGGGGUGGGGUAGCCUGGUAAAUCCUGCGGGGCUGUGGACCCCGUGACCCGGGUUCGAAUCCCGGCCCCGGCCCCA